rnacentral:rRNA from 1 species
CAAGUCGAGCGGCAGCGCGGGGCAACCUGGCGGCGAGCGGCGAACGGGUGAGUAAUGCAUCGGAACAUGUCCAUGUCGUGGGGGAUAGCCCGGCGAAAGCCGGAUUAAUACCGCAUAUGCCCGAGAGGGGAAAGCCGGGGACCGCAAGGCCUGGCGCGAUUGGGUUGGCCGAUGUCCGAUUAGCUAGUUGGCGGGGUAACGGCCCACCAAGGCGAUGAUCGGUAGCUGGUCUGAGAGGAUGAUCAGCCACACUGGGACUGAGACACGGCCCAGACUCCUACGGGAGGCAGCAGUGGGGAAUUUUGGACAAUGGGGGAAACCCUGAUCCAGCCAUUCCGCGUGAGUGAAGAAGGCCUUCGGAUUGUAAAGCUCUUUUGUCCGGAGCGAAAAGGUUACGGUGAAUAUCCGUGACUACUGACGGUACCGGAAGAAUAAGCACCGGCUAACUACGUGCCAGCAGCCGCGGUAAUACGUAGGGUGCGAGCGUUAAUCGGAAUUACUGGGCGUAAAGCGUGCGCAGGCGGUUUUGUAAGCCAGGUGUGAAAUCCCCGGGCUCAACCUGGGAAUGGCAUUUGGGACUGCAAGGCUGGAGUGCGGCAGAGGAGACUGGAAUUCCUGGUGUAGCAGUGAAAUGCGUAGAUAUCAGGAGGAAUACCGAUGGCGAAGGCAGGUCUCUGGGCUGACACUGACGCUCAUGCACGAAAGCGUGGGGGGCAAACAGGAUUAGAUACCCUGGUAGUCCACGCCCUAAACGAUGUCGACUGGUUGUUGGGGGGUUUGACACUCUCAGUAACGAAGCUAACGCGUGAAGUCGACCGCCUGGGGAGUACGGCCGCAAGGUUAAAACUCAAAGGAAUUGACGGGGACCCGCACAAGCGGCGGAUUAUGUGGAUUAAUUCGAUGCAACGCGAAAAACCUUACCUACCCUUGACAUGUCCUGGA